GGAUAACUUACCUUUAGGACUGGGAUAACUCUGGGAAACUGGGGAUAAUACCGGAUAUUAGGUGGUGCCUGCAAUGGUUUACCUUUGAAAUGUUUUUUGUAUUCGCCUAAGGAUAGAUCUGCGGCUGAUUAGGUCGUUGGUGGGGUAAUGGCCCACCAAGCCGAUGAUCGGUACGGCUUGUGAGAGCAAGGGCCCGGAGAUGGAACCUGAGACAAGGUUCCAGACCCUACGGGGUGCAGCAGGCGCGAAACCUCCGCAAUGUACGUAAGUGCGACGGGGGGAUCCCAAGUGUUAUGCUUAAUAGUAUAACUUUUCAUUAGUGUAAAAAGCUUUUAGAAUAAGAGCUGGGCAAGACCGGUGCCAGCCGCCGCGGUAAUACCGGCAGCUCGAGUGGUAGCUGUUUUUAUUGGGCCUAAAGCGUUCGUAGCCGGUUUGAUAAGUCUUUGGUGAAAGCUUGUAGCUUAACUAUAAGAAUUGCUGGAGAUACUAUCAGACUUGAAGUCGGGAGAGGUUAGAGGUACUACCGGGGUAGGGGUGAAAUCCUAUAAUCCUGGGAGGACCACCUGUGGCGAAGGCGUCUAACUAGAACGAUCUUGACGGUGAGUAACGAAAGCCAGGGGCGCGAACCGGAUUAGAUACCCGGGUAGUCCUAGCCGUAAACGAUGUGGACUUGGUGUUGGAAUGGCUUUGAGUUGUUCCAGUGCCGAAGGGAAGCUGUUAAGUCCACCGCCUGGGAAGUACGGUCGCAAGACUGAAACUUAA
rnacentral:rRNA from 1 species